CACAUGCACACACACACACACACACACAGUUUUCAGCUUGUUUGCAUCUCUUCUGCUGGCAGUAAAUUUUUAUUCAGACAAGUUACGUGAAGAUUCAUAUUCUAGUCUUUAAGGAAGUUCCUCUCGACCUAUUCCUCCCAUUUAUCUAUUCCUUUUAUCUCUACCUCCCCCUCUUUCUCUUCUCUCAUUCCUCCUCUACGACGUCCCCCCUCUCUCUAUUAUCCUCUAUCUAACUCGUUUUCCCUCCUUCUCUCUCUCUAACUUUACUCCUUCACUUCAUCAUUUUGACAUUUACCAAAAUAUUUUCUUUUUGGACAGAAACCAGAAGCAUUUGCCCCCUUUUUUUUUUACUUUUCUGGUAAGGAACAGCUUUUAUAUUCCUCCUGACCCCUUCUUAAUCUAAAACUCGAUCAGGGCACUUAAAGAUCUACAUACAUUAUCUAAAUAAUUACACACACACACAUACACUUAUAAAUACACACUAUAUAUAAGUAUAUACUUCUGAAUAUAUAAUAUAAACGUAUCUGUGUGUGUGUAUGUAAAUGCAACAACAGUUGAAGUAGUUUUGUGUCGAGUUAAUAAAUAAAUCAGUCAGAAAGAGUGCGUGUGUGUGUGUGUGUGUGUGUGUGGGACGUUGACAGGUCAGGUCGGUCUCCAACCAGAGAAUAAUAGAAAGUGUGAACUUCGGUAAACCAGAGCGGGAAAACAAAAAAAAAAACCCAGUUAAACUGUUACAACAAACAAAUAUUGAUAAUAAUAAUAAUAAUAACAACAGGAAUAAGAAUUCUAAUUAAACGUUGGAUAUACCAAAGUGUUGUGCGAUUUGAGGUGGUGUGAGUUAUUUCAUGGAGAGGAAGACACAGAGACAAGCCAGACUUUGUCAAUUUGUCUAAUGAACAGAAGCUAUGAUUUCAUUCAUUGUUUGAUCAACUUUUAAAGGAAGCUGAUGGAAUAUUCCUGUAUGGAGCUUGCUUUAGAAGGGGAGCGUCUAUGCCGAGCUGGUGACUGUCAGGCUGGUGUACAAUACUUUGAGGCUGCAGUCAAAGCAGGAACUGACGACUUUGCCACAUUGAGUGCCAUUUAUAGUCAGCUUGGCAAUGCUUACUUCUUCCUGCAGGAAUAUGGCAAAGCCUUGGAAUAUCAUCGACAUGAUCUCAACCU
rnacentral:lncRNA from 1 species